GCUCACCUGUGGGGCACAGAAGACAGGAUCGGUGAUGGUCUCCACCAUGGCCUGGUCUCCUUUCCUUCUCACUCUCCUCGCUCACUGCACAGGGUCCUGGGCCCAGUCUGUGUUGACUCAGCCAUCCUCAAUGUCGGGGUCCCUGGGCCAGAGAGUCACCAUCUCCUGCACUGGAAGCAGCUCCAACAUCGGUGGUAAUUAUGUGAGCUGGUACCAACAAGUCCCAGGAACAGCUCCCAACCUCCUGAUAUAUGAAAAUAACAAACGACCCUCAGGGGUCCCCGAUCGAUUCUCUGGCUCUAAGUCUGGCAACACAGGCACUCUGACCAUCACUGGGCUGCAGGCUGAGGACGAGGCUGAUUAUUACUGUUCAGCAUGGGAUAGCAGUCUCAGUGCUCACACAGUGCUCCAGGCCUGCGGGGAAAGGUCCAGCGAAGCCAGAAGCACGGAUGCCCUGUACGCGCGCGGUUCCUCCAGUGGUCCAGCCAGCCAGGAGCACAAUGGUGUGGUCCGCGCGCAGCCUCUCUAG